UGCUGUUCACAAAAGUCCUGGCAUCUGCCAAGUAACUAAAGAUACUGCAGCAGUAGCUCACAGAUGCCCUAGACUCAUCAGCUCAGCAUGCUAAUCAUGGCUUAAUAUAAGGGGGAGCAAUGUGGAAAUGCAGUUGCCCCUCAUCUGCUAAAAUCAGGAGAGUUUCCCUUCUCUCUUCUUCUGAUGGGGUAGGGGAUGCUCAUCUCUAUCAGUGUAGUCCUCCUGCUGCUUUUUCCCUUGCUGGUGAAAUGAGGAUUCAUCGGAUCUUGCACUGUCAGUUUGGGGAAGAUACAGUAUAUUCUGCAAAAGAGAAUCUCUGCUUUAAGUGAAAAACUCAGUAUGACCUCGAAUAUGGAACCUUCACCAGCCCCUCCACAAUAUCUAAGUGAGAUGCUUAAUUGGGGAAGAAAAAGAGGCUAAAAAGAUACUUAUAACCUAUUCCAUCUGCAUUCAAGGCCUGUUAAAUGAUCGGUGAGAGAUACAGGAAAGAGAUCAAGAAGCUGCACUAUGUAAGAGUAUGAGUUUUCAAAAAACUGCUAGUGAACACAGUUACUGAGGAGAAGGAUGUCCAAGCACAGAAUACUGUAUCUCAAGUACAGGUCCAGUGAUCAACCGUAAAACAGUUUUCAGUUACCCAAGAGUUCAUAAUAUUCCUUCUUCUUCUUGGGCUGCCACCUUGACGUGGUGGAGAAGCUUCCGCAUACUUAAGACCUCAAGAGUGAUGCCGUCAGAAGUCCUUUACUCCUGGCAGAGAGGUGCAUUGGCUAGAUGGUGUCAUUUGACCUGAGGCUAACAAAGUAUCACUUCAAGCUCCACAGAAACGUCAACACACUGUUGAAAUUAUCAAACAGAUUUCUUCUCUCUGCAAAUGAAAACGAAGGUUUCUAUGUUAAAUGUAAAUUUGUGACAUUUAACAACAGAGCAGUGGAAGAACAGAGAAACAUCAAUUUACAAACAAACAGAAGGGCCCUGUUUGAAUUCCUUCAGGCACAGAAACAACUUGUUAAAGAAUUGAAAAAUCAACAUCUGCCCUACAUAGCCUGAUGGAAUACAUCUAAGCAUUAGAUACACCACAUCAGCCCUCGGCCCGCGCCGCUUCCCGCAGCCCCCAUUGACCUGGAGCAGCGAACCAGACGCGGCAGAUAAACAAACCAUCCCGGCCCGCCAGGGGCUCAUCCUCGUGGGCCACAUGCCAAAGG